rnacentral:rRNA from 1 species
UGGGGAAUAUUGCACAAUGGGCGCCAGCCUGAUGCAGCCAUGCCGCGUGUAUGAAGAAGGCCUUCGGGUUGUAAAGUACUUUCAGCGGGGAGGAAGGGAGUAAAGUUAAUACCUUUGCUCAUUGACGUUACCCGCAGAAGAAGCACCGGCUAACUCCGUGCCAGCAGCCGCGGUAAUACGGAGGGUGCAAGCGUUAAUCGGAAUUACUGGGCGUAAAGCGCACGCAGGCGGUUGAUUGAGUCAGAUGUGAAAUCCCCGGGCUUAACCCGGGAAUUGCAUCUGAUACUGGUCAGCUAGAGUCUUGUAGAGGGGGGUAGAAUUCCAUGUGUAGCGGUGAAAUGCGUAGAGAUGUGGAGGAAUACCGGUGGCGAAGGCGGCCCCCUGGACAAAGACUGACGCUCAGGUGCGAAAGCGUGGGGAGCAAACAGG